rnacentral:rRNA from 1 species
UACGAAGGGGGCUAGCGUUGUUCGGAAUUACUGGGCGUAAAGCGCACGUAGGCGGAUACUUAAGUCAGGGGUGAAAUCCCGGGGCUCAACCCCGGAACUGCCUUUGAUACUGGGUAUCUCGAGUCCGGAAGAGGUGAGUGGAAUUCCGAGUGUAGAGGUGAAAUUCGUAGAUAUUCGGAGGAACACCAGUGGCGAAGGCGGGUCUCUGGGCCGAUACUGACGCUGAGGAGCGAAAGCGUGGGGAGCAAACAGG